CCCUUAGAUGUUCUGGGCCGCACGCGCACUACACUGAUUCAUGCAACAAGUUUUGUCCUUGGCUGAUAGGCCUGGGUAAUCUUUGAACGUGAAUCGUGAUGGGGAUAGAUGAUUGCAAUUAUUCAUCUUCAACGAGGAAUUCCUAGUAAACGCAAGUCAUCAGCUUGCAUUGAUUACGUCCCUGCCCUUUGUACACACCGCCCGUCGCACCUACCGAUUGAAUGGUCCGGUGAAAUCUUCGGAUCUGAGAGAUGUCUGAUUAAUUUCGGACGCCUUUUGGAAAAGUUGUUUAAACCUUACCAUUUAGAGGAAGGUGAAGUCGUAACA
rnacentral:rRNA from 1 species